UCUAGAAGCUCAAGUUUUCUUCCUUAUAAACAUUUGCAUUCUCAAUCUCAUUACCCUGCUAAAGUGCAAGUCGAUACAUCCAGAUUUUCAUUCACCCAUGGCCAAACUAUUUUUGUUUGCUGUUAUUACACUGUCUCUUCUCCACUUCUGCUGCGGAUAUAUUGAGAGGGAAGCCCAUGCUCUUCUUAUCUUCAAAGCCGGCCUAAAUCACUCUAAAGAUGUACCCAGUUCCUGGGAGAUAGAAAGAGAUUGCUGCCUCUGGGACGGCAUUUCCUGUGAUAAUACCACUCAUCAUGUAGUUGGUGUUGAUUUUAGAGCAUUUUAUCACAGAGGUGAUAUGGAGGGCGUCAUAUCUGAGAGUUUGUGCACCCUCACUUUUGUUGCAACGAUACGCCUAUCUGACAUGGGAUUAACAGGUACUAUUCCUCCCUGCUUAGGAAAACUCUCUUAUCUCACAAGUAUAGAUUUAUCUGUUAAUAGUUUGAGUGGGAAUAUUCCUCCCUCCCUGUCUAACCUCUCUUCUCUAACUAGCCUAUAUCUUUCUUUCAAUCAACUGACAGGAAGCAUUCCCUCCUCUCUCUUUAAUCUCUCUUCUCUGACUGGCUUAUAUCUUAAUGGGAAUCAACUCACAGGAAGCGUUCCCUCCUUUCUCUCUAAUCCUUCAUCUCUAACUGACCUAUGGCUCUAUAGGAAUCAACUCACAGGAAACAUUCCCUCCUCUCUCUCUAAUCUCUCUUCUCUAAUUAGCCUAUCUCUUGAUGAUAAUCAACUCACAGGAAGCAUUCCUUCCUCUCUCUCGAGUCUCUCUUCUCUAACUAGCCUAAGUUUUAGUGACAAUCACUUGAAUGGCUGUAUCCCAGAGUCCUUGGGCAAUCUCUCUUCACUGGAAUACCUGGAUAUAUCUUACAACCAGCUAAAUGGAACUCUUCCCUCCUCGUUUUCAAGGCUUUCCGCCCUUACCGCUCUCCUUGCCAAUGGGAAUAGAUUCAACAAGAGUACUGUUCAGCCAACACUGCCCUCUUCUCUUGAACGCCUCUCUAUCUCACUAAACCGCCAUCAGAUAAUCUCAGAGGUCUUCUUACAAAACCUUGGAAAAUUAAAGGAGUUGUCCUUAUCUAGUUGUGUGCUUAACAUGAGCACCACAUGGAUUCCCUCAUUUCAGUUAACAAAGUUGUAUUUGACAUCAUGUAAGGUGGAUGGUCAAAUCCCCUCAUGGAUUUCGACUCAAUUUUCACUUGAAGAGUUGCAAAUAGCAGAUUGCAAUCUUGUUGGAGAAAUUCCCUCUUGGCUAUCAGAUUUGAGCCUCUCUUACAUCAAUCUCACAACAAAUCAGCUGCAAGGCCGCCUUUUGCUAAAUACUUCAGCUUGGAUGAAUAUGAUGAGGUACCUGGAUGUGUCUAACAAUGCACUAUGCGGAGAUAUACCAUCAAUUUGGCCUCCUUAUAUAAUGAAAAUGUUUCUCAAUGACAAUUUGCUAGCAGGAAAUAUUCCUGCAAGCUUGCAGACUAACAUUCUAAUGCGAAUGUUAGACUUGUCAAAUAACCGAUUGAAUGGAAUCAUCCCUCCAAGCUUAGCCAAUUAUUCUCGACUUCAAAUGUUGAAUUUGGGGAAUAAUAACCUACAAGGUGUGAUACCAUUUGAGUUUGGUAAGCUAAAUCAUCUGCAAACACUAGUGCUAAAGAAGAACCAGCUAAGUGGAGCAUUCCCUCUCUCAAUAUCAAAUUGUACAAAAUUAGCUUUCUUGGACAUUGGGCAAAAUCAAUUGAAAGGCCAUAUUCCAAAAUUAAUUGGAAAUCUUUCAGAGCUGCAAGUGUUAGCAAUGAGGAAGAAUCAUUUUGAAGGUUGUAUUCCUAGAGAAAUUGGGCAGCUGAAGCAACUCCAAAUUUUAGACCUUUCUUCAAAUCAUCUAUCAGGGUUUAUACCAUUGAAUAUUUUCAAUUUACAAGCUAUGUUGACAGAACCACAAUCGGGAUCUAUCAUGAUUCAAAUAUAUGAAGAACCUGGUGAGCCUGCUAAAAUACAGUACACAUAUGAGAAUGAUUUGAAUAUGAAUUCCAAAGGUAGAGAUGAGCACUACCCAUAUAUUUGGUCUACCAUGGCAUCCAUCGACCUCUCUAACAAUCAAUUGAAUGGCAUUGUUCCUUCUGAUAUAGGAAAGUUGAAAGGGUUGAUGUUACUCAAUCUAUCUAUGAAUAAUCUCAAUGGUACUAUUCCAAAUAGUAUUGUAGAAAUGACUUGGUUAGAAUCAUUAGACCUUUCUACAAAUCAGUUUUUUGGGCCUAUCCCAGGAGACCUUGGAUCAUUGAGUUAUUUGGGAGCCCUCAACUUGUCCAACAACAAUCUGUCAGAAAAAAUACCACAAGGAGGACACAUGGACACAUUUAAAAGAUCUUCAUAUGAAGGAAAUCCAAAUUUAUGAGGUUGUCCGCUUCCAAAGAACUGCUCAUGGCCAGAAUUUGCACAUACUCCUCCCAUUUCUACAUCAACAAAUGAAGAAGAAUGGGAUGGGGAAAGUGUGUGGUAUUGGAUUGGGAUUGGAUUGUCAUAUGGAGUGGGUUUUGGAGCUGUGGUGAUAUCUAUUGUAUUGAUAAAGAAGUGGGGAGAAAGAUACUUUUAUGGAGUUGAUAUGGUCUUGAAAUGUUUAUUUCCAUGGCUCCCAAAUUUCACAAUAUGAAAAGAUAUUUUCUUAAGAUCAUGGAGCAGAGCAAAUGGAAGAUUUGUAAUGGUGUGUUAAAUCAUUUUUGAAUAGAUUGAACAAGUUCAUUAUGCUCAUUAUUAUUAUUGUAAUUUUUUUAUAUGGUUAGCUAAUUAUAUUUAUAG